GACGAACCGUCCAAACGUUAUUCGGAAUCACUGGGCUUAAAGGGUGCGUAGGCGGCACGGAAAGUUGGGUGUGAAAUCCCUCGGCUCAACCGAGGAACUGCGCCCAAAACUACCGUGCUCGAGGGAGAUAGAGGUGAGCGGAACUUAGGGUGGAGCGGUGAAAUGCGUUGAUAUCCUAAGGAACACCGGUGGCGAAAGCGGCUCACUGGAUCUCUUCUGACGCUGAGGCACGAAAGCUAGGGUAGCGAACGGG
rnacentral:rRNA from 1 species